UACGGAGGAUGCAAGCGUUAUCCGGAAUUAUUGGGCGUAAAGCGUCCGCAGGUGGCACUUCAAGUCUGUCGUCAAAGACCGGGGCUUAACCCUGGAAAGGCCGUGGAAACUGAAUAGCUAGAGUGCAGUAGGGGUAGAGGGAAUUCCCGGUGUAGCGGUGAAAUGCGUAGAGCUCGGGAAGAACAUCGGUGGCGAAAGCGCUCUGCUGGACUGCAACUGACACUCAGGGACGAAAGCUAGGGGAGCGAAUGGG
rnacentral:rRNA from 1 species